rnacentral:rRNA from 1 species
GGGAUGAACGCUGGCGGCGUGCUUAACACAUGCAAGUCGAACGAUGAAGGCUGGAGCUUGCUCUGGCUGGAUUAGUGGCGAACGGGUGGGUAACACGUGAGUAACCUGCCCCUGACUCUGGGAUAAGCGCUGGAAACGGCGUCUAAUACCGGAUACGAGCUUCCACCGCAUGGUGAGGAGCUGGAAAGAAUUUCGGUCUGGGAUGGACUCGCGGCCUAUCAGCUUGUUGGUGAGGUAAUGGCUCACCAAGGCGACGACGGGUAGCCGGCCUGAGAGGGUGACCGGCCACACUGGGACUGAGACACGGCCCAGACUCCUACGGGAGGCAGCAGUGGGGAAUAUUGCACAAUGGGCGCAAGCCUGAUGCAGCAACGCCGCGUGAGGACGAAGGCCUUCGGUUAGUAACCUCUUUUAGUAAGGGUAAGAAAGCGAAGGUGGACGGUACCGUGCAAGAAAAAGCAACCGGACUAACUACGUAGCCAGCAGCCGC